CAAGCCGACUGUCGCUGUUCAUCUUUGAUGGAGAGAGGAAAGUCCGGGCAGCAUAGAGUAACCGUGCUUCCUAACAGGAAGGAUUCGUUCGUUUUCGAACGGGUACAGAAAGUGCAGCAGAAAAGAAACCGCCAAUUUAUUGGUAAGGGUGAAAUGGUGAGGUAAGAGCUCACCGGCUCAGCAGUGAUGUUUGAGUGCAAGGUAAACCUCACGGGCUGAAAGAUCAUGUAAACCAAGCGAGUAGGGCUGCUCGUUCUCUUUCCUUCGGGAAUGCUUGGAGGGUAGAUCGAUAGAACCUAAGAGUGAUUUUAGGUCUAGAUAAAUGACAGUCAGUUUCGAGCAAUCGGAAUGUACAGAACCCGGCUUAUGGCUUGCUUU
rnacentral:RNase_P_RNA from 1 species